GGUUCGUUAUUUUAUCAGCAUAUUGCUGGGAUGGUGGGUUGUCUAGUAAGCAGGAGUAAAUAAAACCGAGGAGAUUUUCACGGUCAGGAUUUAAAAAUGAUUCAGAUUACUAUCUAUCGUAAAGCCAACACAAAAGCAAGGUUCUAGCAAGGAACUGUCCGAAACCUAAAAACAUCUAAGGUUUUUUGGACAAGAAUAAUAUCACGUCGAGCACUGUCAGACCUUUAAUUCAUUUUUUUUGGUGGUAAAAAAGCUUUCAAGGCAUAUUCAUCUGGUAAUGGGAGAAAUUCUUCGAAAAAGCUAUAGUUGCAUCAUACAUAUCAUUCUUCGAGAUAUGAGGAGACACUCUAGAAAGUACCAACGGAGAGCCGUAGCAAGUAUA